UGGGGAACCUGCCCCAUAGUCUGGGAUACCACUUGGAAACAGGUGCUAAUACCGGAUAAGAAAGCGGAUCGCAUGAUCAGCUUUUAAAAGGCGGCGUAAGCUGUCGCUAUGGGAUGGCCCCGCGGUGCAUUAGCUAGUUGGUAAGGUAAAGGCUUACCAAGGCGAUGAUGCAUAGCCGAGUUGAGAGACUGAUCGGCCACAUUGGGACUGAGACACGGCCCAAACUCCUACGGGGAGGCAGCAGGC
rnacentral:rRNA from 1 species